UCUUCCUUCAAACAACCCAUGUCGACAACAGGAUGAUUUGAAAAAUUGCCGCAUCAAACUAUAUUGUAUUCCACUUUGAUCAUAUGGCCAUUAUCAGCUAUAUAUAUAGUCAGUGGCGGCCAAGCUUGAAUGGUCGAACAAGCCGGAGUGUACGGAGAGAGGCACCGACUUUCAGUAGAGAAACUGGCAAUCCUGGUCACUAAGAUAAGAGUCGAAUGCACCUGCCAUGUGCGGGGUUCGAACUCACAAUCUCUUGACAGGGCAGUGAUUACAGAAGAAUAAACUUCUUUUAUUUAAUUCCUUAGACCACUGGAACAACGAGUUCGCAGGAAGACUUUUUGAAAAAUGUAUAAGAGUAAAAUAAAUUUAGAGAAUUUGG